UACAGAGGGUGCAAGCGUUGUUCGGAAUUAUUGGGCGUAAAGGGAGUGUAGGCGGUUUGUUAAGUCUUCUGUGAAAUCUACGGGCUUACCCUGUAAAGUGCAGAGGAAACUAGCAGGCUUGAGUGUCGGAGAGGAUAGGGGAAUUCCCGGUGUAGAGGUGAAAUUCGUAGAGAUCGGGAGGAACACCAGUGGCGAAGGCGCCUAUCUGGCCGAAAACUGACGCUGAGACUCGAAAGCAUGGGGAGCAAACAGG
rnacentral:rRNA from 1 species